GUGGGGAAUUUUGGACAAUGGGCGCAAGCCUGAUCCAGCCAUUCCGCGUGCAGGAUGAAGGCCUUCGGGUUGUAAACUGCUUUUGUACGGAACGAAAAGCCUCUGGUUAAUACCCGGGGGUCAUGACGGUACCGUAAGAAUAAGCACCGGCUAACUACGUGCCAGCAGCCGCGGUAAUACGUAGGGUGCGAGCGUUAAUCGGAAUUACUGGGCGUAAAGCGUGCGCAGGCGGUGAUGUAAGACAGUUGUGAAAUCCCCGGGCUCAACCUGGGAACUGCAUCUGUGACUGCAUUGCUGGAGUGCGGCAGAGGGGGAUGGAAUUCCGCGUGUAGCAGUGAAAUGCGUAGAUAUGCGGAGGAACACCGAUGGCGAAGGCAAUCCCCUGGGCCUGCACUGACGCUCAUGCACGAAAGCGUGGGGAGCAAACAGGAUUAGAUACCCGAGUAGUCC
rnacentral:rRNA from 1 species